rnacentral:rRNA from 1 species
AGCGAACGCUGGCGGCAGGCCUAACACAUGCAAGUCGAACGAACUCUUCGGAGUUAGUGGCGGACGGGUGAGUAACACGUGGGAACGUGCCUUUUGGUUCGGAAUAACUCAGGGAAACUUGUGCUAAUACCGAAUGUGCCCUUCGGGGAAAGAUUUAUCGCCAUUAGAGCGGCCCGCGUCUGAUUAGCUAGUUGGCGAGG